AAGUCGAACGGAACUGUUUUGAAAGAUUUCUUCGGAAUGAAUUUGAUUUAGUUUAGUGGCGGACGGGUGAGUAACGCGUGAGUAACCUGCCUUCAAGAGGGGGAUAACAUUCUGAAAAGAAUGCUAAUACCGCAUGACAUAUCGGAACCACAUGGUUUUGAUAUCAAAGAUUUUAUCGCUUGAAGAUGGACUCGCGUCCGAUUAGUUAGUUGGUGAGGUAACGGCUCACCAAGACCGCGAUCGGUAGCCGGACUGAGAGGUUGAACGGCCACAUUGGGACUGAGACACGGCCCAGACUCCUACGGGAGGCAGCAGUGGGGGAUAUUGCGCAAUGGGGGCAACCCUGACGCAGCAACGCCGCGUGAAGGAUGAAGGUUUUCGGAUUGUAAACUUCUUUUAUUAAGGACGAAACUUGACGGUACUUAAUGAAUAAGCUCCGGCUAACUACGUGCCAGCAGCCGCGGUAAUACGUAGGGAGCAAGCGUUGUCCGGAUUUACUGGGUGUAAAGGGUGCGUAGGCGGCUUUGCAAGUCAGGUGUGAAAUCUAUGGGCUCAACCCAUAAACUGCAUUUGAAACUGUAGAGCUUGAGUGAAGUAGAGGCAGGCGGAAUUCCCCGUGUAGCGGUGAAAUGCGUAGAGAUGGGGAGGAACACCAGUGGCGA
rnacentral:rRNA from 1 species